CGCUCGGCCGGCGCGGAACUUCUUCUCGCUCUCGUAACACUCGAGGCGCUGCGGAUAGGCGCGGAGCACAAAGAAGCGGCGGCGCUGGGACUUCUGCUUCCGCAGGUGGCCGCAGAGCCGCACGUCAGCCGGGCAGGCCCGCGGCGGACCCAGGGCCACGUCGGCCGACUCGAACUCCGGGGUCGUCGUGGGGCCUCCGGGCUUCAUCCCGGACCCAAAGCAGUAAAGUGUCCGGAGCAGGGGCUGGGACGGCAGAGGUGGGGUAGACGUAGCGGUCCCCGGGGAGGGGGGCGGCAUCCUGACAGGCGACCACCCGUCUUGAUGCCCAGCGUCUCUCCCCCCGCUCCCGACUUGAAGUUUGGGGCAGGGGGUCCUUAGCGUGUGCCCCAGUGGCUGCGCGGUGGCCUGAGACACCCGAGGCUCCGACAGACUCUGAGGCUUGACCCCUGCGCCUCCUGUCGCCUCGUCUCCUGUCCUCUCCCCUCCCUCCCAGCGCGGAUCGCGCCGAAGUCCCCACCCCCGCAAGGUUAACCCUCGCGCGCCCCGGAGCCGGACGCCGGGCGGUGCGAGUGGAGUGUGAGUGGGGAAAUCCAGGAGAGGCGGCCUCCGCCUCACCCCACCCCGUGUCCUGGGACUGGGCUUUUGCAGGGGCGGGGGUGGGGCGGCGUCUCUACUGGUCUGAGCUGCCGGCCGGCCGGCCGAGAAAGCGGCGAGGUGAGGCGAGUGUGCGUGGAGCCACGUCUGUUGUGACCGCGCUGGCGGCGUCUGCAGCCUUGGAGUAAUCCCAGGAGCCAGGGCUACGGAGCACUGGGCUAUGCUGAUCUUGGAGGAGCUGGAGGUUCAGUUUCUCUGCGGGGUUGGGGCCAUAGGAGGUGUCUUGGGGUAAGUUAACUUCUGGAUCGGUCCCUGUGCACAGACCAUACCCACCAGGGUUCCAGUCAAGUGGCACUGAAGGAGAGCCAGUGGAGAAAGAGACCAUCUCUCAGGGGCACUGCCCUCUUGCUGCACCAUUGCCCUCAGCCCCUCCUCACCACCUCUGUUCAAAAAUAACGCUGCCCAGCUGAAGGCUCUGAUCACAGAAGUGCAGACUCUCUGCACUGGUGGAGGUACCCUUUGCAUCCCUGGAGGCUUGAAAUGGGGUUGGGAUUCAGACAUUUUUACACCCCACUUCUGAUCCUUCCAAGGACCACCGACUCACGUUGGGGGCGAUGGCGCCAGUCAGUGCACACUCUGCGAGACAAACCGGUAGUUGACACAUGGGUGGGGGGCCUUAGAGGACCUUAUGAUUUCACUGUCACGGCAAGUAGGAUACCUACAGUGGGGGAGCUGAGGGUUUGGGAGAGGGCAGCUGUGGCCCCUAUUAAAGACGGUAUUUGGGGAGGAGUGCCUUCAGGUGAGUUAGGAGCUGUACCAGGAGUACUAAAGCAAGGCCACCUGGUUCUUUUUCUCCGGCUAGUCCAAGGGCCAGGAAAGCCUGAGUAGGGAGGGCUGGGCUUCCCACCCUGGCUCCUCCACUUCCCAGGUGUGGGAGGAAGGGGUUGGUCUAUGAGCUGGAAUACUGGAGAAGCCAACAGUGCGGUGUGCAGGAAGGCUUAGAUUCUUGAACGCCCUUUAAGGGUCAUGCAGAAAGUGUGAUGCAGGGCACCACCUGGCAUCGUGAGGAUGGGCAUCUGGCCAGCAGGCAGCAGUGCCCAGGUUCUGCUCCAGGUGCCCUCACCCCCCGCCCCACCCAGGUCAGCCAAAGCCUCUCCAAGGUGCCAGAGAGGUGGCGGCAGCUCAGGUGGUGCACACAGGCCAGCAGCAGCCUCCACCGUUGAUGGGUGUUGGCCAGGGAGAGGCAGGUAUGUGAGAGAUCCUGAAGUGGACACCAGAAGUAUAUUCAAGGUCAUAGCCUCCAGUGUGGCCUCGACAUAUGCGCCAUGGAGAAGUGGCAGGGACACAAAACACAUCUGCAGGCCUUUCCCCUUCCUAGUUUUGGUGCUGCCUUGAGGAGCAGGGCACCCAUGGGGGCCACGUACCUGCUGUGCUCCUGCCUGGAGCCUUACUCCCCAGGUUUGAUUUGAAGCUACCCACAGGAGGGUCUCUUCAUAUCUGCUCCUUCCCGCUCCCCACCAACCAGUCCACCUUGGAGCACCCCAGUCCUUGUGAAAUCACAGACGCUGUCACAGAGACCAGCUCCAGACCGCCUUGUGUCAUUGAACCGCUAAGUGCUGGGUAAAGAUAAAGCCGGAAGCAGCAGGGAUCGGAGCACCUGGGCCCUGGGCAAGCAAACGUGGUCGAGUGGGUUGGUAAUCAAUGCCAGGUGAUUUAGCCUGCAGGGUACCAGGAAAAGCCUGGAGCCAAACGACUGACUUAAUCAGUUGCCCUGGCAACAACACUGGCCUUGGCUCUACCCAGACAAGAUUGAUUUGAGCCUGUUGCCCUGGUAACUCGUGUUGCUCCCCCAGGACAGGAAGUAACAGAACUUCAGCUCUGUUGGGUGAGAACACCUCCCCCAACCUGAGGGGGUCCACCUGUGCAUCCCGCUGCCAGUUGCAGGGCAGCAGUGGGAUGGGCUCUCCACAUUCUAAGUGCCUAUGGAAGAUUCUUGUUACCAAAGGGGAGCCCCCAGGGAGGAGGCUGGGGCACUAGGGCCAGGCUCUUCCCGUGUGCCCCUCUCUCCUCCGUCCAGGUUCUCACUCCUCUGGAGGGGGAUGCAGGGACAGCGCCACCCCCUUCCUCCAUCGGAGAGCUUGACAGAGGUCCUGGGCACUGGCUCCUGCUUCCUCACCCGCAGAGGCAGCCGCCGGUGACCUGCUGAAGGCUGGGGUCAAGCCAGAGGACUGUUGCCUGCAGAGCACUGUCACAGCAUUGGCCAGGGGGACAUGAGCACUUGGUCAGAAGCCUGGUGGCAGUCUGGAGUCCCCAGUUUCCUCUUGGCCUUAGAUCCCCUCCCUGGGUCUCUACACGCAAGACUCACCUCCAAAGGAGAGCCCUGUGCUGCCGCCUCCGCCAGUGGUGGCCGACUGGAGCGUGGGGACCUGGCUGGCCAUCCCGAAGAUGCUGUGAUAUGGGGAGAAAAGUCGGCAUGCACAUCAUCUAGCAACAAGGAGGAACAACACGACGCAGAGUUGGCAGGCUUCUGCUCUAAGAGGGAUGCCUGAGGACUUCUGGAGACCACCUAGGACGCUGACCCAGCCCUUGCCCUGGGGGCCCUCUCGGGGAAAGGUCAUGUCCCUUCUCAUGUUUUCUAGGACUCGGGUCUCCACUACUUCCCAGUCAGCGACCUCCUAGUGCACAGCCUGCACAAGUACUGGUGCAGUUUUAGCCAUUUCCUUACAUGAAGAAAGAGAACAGAGCCCCUUCUUCUUGACAAGACCCUCAUCAGACUCCUCUCCUCCUUUCCUGGAGCUUCUCCUCUUUGUGCGGUACUUUGGGUGGGUGCGGAUGUGAAUGCAGGGUGACGUAUGGGUGUGGACAGUGGGCCACAGUUGCAAGCAAGGAAGCCAGAGGGGCGGAGCUUACCUGGGGGUGCUGGCUGGGCCUGGAACGGGGCUUGGCCGGCUGGAGGCAUGCUUCCAAAUGCAGAAGAGCCAGGGCUACUGCCAAAGGCAUCGAAGUUGGCAAAGCCCCCAUGGGAAGGCGUCUGGCCUACAGGUGGAGAGAAUAUAAAGGUUAUGUUUAUAUAUGAUGUAUAUGUAAUCCAUAUCACACGGACUAGUUCGGAAGGCAAAGGGCCGCUCAAUGGGACAUCUGCCUUCCUGCAGGGUCCUCUUCAGAGGGAGUUGGCAGGAGCCUGGGGCAGAGAGCCAGACACAUGCAGGGGGAAAGGGCAUCUCAGAGGCCUCCAAGUUCACUCCCCAUUUUUUAUCCUUACUCCGUGAGGCGUUAACAUUUUUGUCAGGGCCUAGUUUGGGAGGAAUCAUGGAAAAAGAUUUUGCUGGGGGGAAGGGCUUUAAAAAGGAAAAAGGGAAACUAGAUAAUCACUUUGUUCUACCCUCUACUGGCUACUGCUGAUCUUCGGGAAGAGGGCAGGGGAAAUGGAACCUGUGACAAUCCCCUUGCCCCAUUUUAACAGAGAGAGAAACUAAGAAAAAGGCUCUUUCCAGUGCUCUAAGAGGGAGGGCUGGGAGCCCCCAACUGCCAUGCUUUCUGGUCAAACUCCCAAAACUAAUCCCGGCUGUAAUCAUGGCUGUACUCAUCUGACCCCCACCCUCCCAGCCGUGAUACUUCAGAAUUACCAUCACGUUCAUUCCCGUGCAGAGAGCUAGGGCCGAGUGAAUUCCUUGUGUGAUGGGGACGUAUGUUGUAGGAAGGUUCUCUUCCCAAGUCUCACUUACCCCCAAAGGCUGGGAAUGCAGCAAAAGCUGGUGCCACCUGGGGAGCAGCAAAGGGGUCUCCGCCGAUGUCGGCCAGCAGGCGCCUGAAGCAGUGUCCUGGCCCCUGUUUUUCCUUGGAGGAAUGGUCACGUUUGAAGUUGAUACUCUGACUUCCCUAAAUACCACUUCCUGUUGGGGUCUUUCUUCCAAAACAUACAGAUCCAAGUUGCAGGGCACAUCUGAGAGUUACCUGGCUGGAGGUGGAGGCAGCAGCCGAGAGAGACGGCACAGGAUCCCCCAGAAGUGUCCGCGGGGGCUUCCCUUCCGGAAUGGAGCCCUGGACGGGGGUGGAGGCGCCGCCUUUGGGAUGUUCAGUUGGCUCUGGCUUGUGCCGGUCUUCCCCUCUUCUCUCCCUCCUCUUUCUGACACAUCAAACCAUCUGGGUUUCAAGUAAUAACACCUGCAAUCAUGCUGAGCAACAGUCAGAAUUCGGCCCUAACUGAAUCUGAGGGGAACAGACUCAAACCUCGUCUAGCCUUUGAGAGAAGCCCCAGUUCAGCUCUGGAAACUGGACGAAACUCCUUCACCUUCUGAGGAUCCCUGGAAUCUGGUAUUAAAGAUGUCCGAGCAUCGAAAAGACCCAGCCAAAUCUUCCUGCAAACCUAAAGGAAUGAAGUCAGGUGACAGAGGAAAUGGGGCAGAAAGCGUGAAAUGGGAGUCAUACCAUUUCCAGCUCAUUCAUCAAUAGACAUUUAUCGCGCACGGACACGAUGUGAGGACCUGGGUGCACCUACAAAACAGACAUGAUGCCUGUCCUUGCAGAGUGGAUCAUCUAACGGGGAGGUCAUACC